GUAUUUUUAGUAUAACUAGUACGCUUGCCUUCCAAGCAAGGGGUUUCUGUAAAAAGAAAAAAUAUA
rnacentral:tRNA from 1 species